GAUGAACGCUGGCGGCGUGCCUAAUACAUGCAAGUCGAACGGAGAUUGUAGCAAUACUUUCUUAGUGGCGAACGGGUGAGUAACGCGUUGGUGACCUGCCCCGAAGAGGGGGAUAACAGCUCGAAAGGGCUGCUAAUACCCCAUGUGGUCCCUGGGAUUAGAUGCCCGGUGACUAAAGGUGAAAAUCACUUCGGGAGGGGCCUGCGUCCCAUCAGCUAGUUGGUAAGGUAACGGCUUACCAAGGCGAUGACGGGUAGGGGACCUGAGAGGGUGACCCCCCACACUGGCGACUGAAACGGGACCGAGACACCUACGGGUGGGCAG
rnacentral:rRNA from 1 species